AGGGAGUUAGUCCUAAACAUAAGACCUCUGAUUUCGGCUCAGAAAAUUACGGUUUAAAUCCGUAACUCCCUU
rnacentral:tRNA from 1 species